AGGGCACCCAUACCAUUGGGCGUGAUAACCACUAUUGAUUUCGUAAUAGCCAUCGAAUGGUGUAUUUAAGGUGGUCUUGAUUCUAUGUGCAAUAUGAUUGAUUUUGUGAAUUUCCCGAUUAUAAUUUGGUACAUAUAAGUCGUUGAACUGGUGAAAUAUCUUUAAGCUCGAUAGUUUGCCAAUAUAGGUUAUCUCCCCUCAAUUGUACCAUUAAACCCGAAGUACUUGCGGAUACCACCAUAGAAUUGUUGAACUCCAAUAUACAACACAUGUAAGCCUCCACAAUUUAGCCGUUGAAUGAUUCUAAUUGCUAAAUUUCGAUUUAUUUAGAUUGUAUAGACCAUUCAUUCGUACGUUACCUACCACUUUUCUCAGAGUCAGGGUUUGGAAACUAAAUAUUUUGAGCUGUUUCUCUAAAACGCGCUGCUUCAAAAAAUAG